AAAACCCACAAAAUCUGUGUGGAAGGUGUGUGAACCCUUGGGAAACAGAGUUGCUGUACACGUGUAUCAGGCCCUGAGCCAGCUGCAGGGUGGGCAUUACUGCUUGGUGCCCUCCGCCCUCACUCUUCCUCCCUGGAUGUUGAGGAUGGCCCCGUAAACCUUGUUCAUAGGGGUCCCUCGUUUUCUGAGACACCUCAUCUGAGCACUGACGAGGGGACACAACUCUUGGCUGGGAAGCAGGAGACUGAGCAUUGCCUUCAAGCCAUCCCCACACAUGUGACCUCAGUCAGCAUUCUGCCCUUUCAUGGGUGUCAGUUGUCUCGUCCAUAAAAUGGGAUGAUGUUCUUGUUCCAGCCGGCAUACUGGAUGACUAAAUGAGGGAACAGACGAGGUCUCGCUCUGUUGCCCAGACUGGUCCUAAACUCCUGGCCUCAAGUACUCCUCCUGCUUGGGCCUUCCAAAUUGUUGGGAUCAUAGAUGCAGAAACCACGGCCCAGGGAAGACGCAGCUUGAGCAAGGUCACCGGCAGGCCAUGGUUUUGCGGGAGGAGGAGCUACGUCAGUCUGCCUUGGAGCUCAGCACCGUGUUUGGCCCAUGGUAGAUGCCCCACAGAAAACACAAGCGGCGUUGAGGGCUCCUGUGGUGAGUGGUCGUUUCUCUUUUAGCAUGCUAAAAGCACUUCCUGUGGGAGUGCCUCCGAGCCCCUCUACUUGAGUGGAAGUUUCUCAAGGCCAGGACCCUGUCCCGUUCCUCAGGGCCCCUCCCCACACGGAGUUUCAGGCAGGCCCUGCUGCUAGGCGCCACAGAGGCUGGGCAGGGUGAGGGGUGUGUCCUGUUUCUCCAGGCACACUCGGUGGUUGACUGAUUAGUCUCAAGAGGCAAUUAAAUUUAAGAGAGGCUUUUCACCUGCUCACAACUCCUCACCCUAUCUGAUUAUGAUGUUAUGCCCCUUGGAGGGGCAGAGAAGGGCAGUCAUUAAAAGACAAACAUUUGGGCCAGGCGUGGUGGCUCACCACAGUAAUCCCAGCACUUUGGGAGGCCGAGGCAGGCAAACCACUUGAGGUGAGGAGUUCGAGACCAGCCUGGCCAACAUGGUGAAACCCCGUCUCUAGCAAAUAUAAAAAAUUAGCCAGGUGUGGUGGCAUGCUUCUGUAAUCCCAGCUACUCGGGAGGCUGAGGCAGGAGAAUUGCUUGAACCUAGGAGGAGGAGGUUGCAGUGAGCUGUCCAAGAUCAUGCCACUGCACUCCAGCCUGGGCAACAGAGCAAGACUCCAUU
rnacentral:lncRNA from 1 species